rnacentral:rRNA from 1 species
AACGAACGCUGGCGGCAGGCCUAACACAUGCAAGUCGAACGCCCUAGCAAUAGGGAGUGGCAGACGGGUGAGUAACACGUGGGAACCUUCCCUAUAGUACGGAAUAGCCCAGGGAAACUUGGAGUAAUACCGUAUACGCCCGAGAGGGGAAAGAUUUAUCGCUAUGGGAUGGGCCCGCGUCGGAUUAGCUAGUUGGUGAGGUAAUGGCUCACCAAGGCAACGAUCCGUAGCUGGUUUGAGAGAAUGACCAGCCACACUGGGACUGAGACACGGCCCAGACUCCUACGGGAGGCAGCAGUGGGGAAUCUUGGACAAUGGGCGCAAGCCUGAUCCAGCCAUGCCGCGUGAGUGAUGAAGGCCUUAGGGUUGUAAAGCUCUUUUGGCGGGGGCGGUAAUGACGGUACCCGCUGAAUAAGUCCCGGCUAACUUCGUGCCAGCCGCCGCAGUAACAC